GGCAACUUGUCCCCAAAGGGGGUGUGUUACAUUGCGUGAUUUAUUCUCAUUGAUCGUUGCACCUAUCAUUGUAGGUAUAGCUACUAAGCUAUUUUCUCGGUGGUUGGACGAGAACGACAAAGACAACGAUCGCUAGCAGGUUGCCUUUCAACUCACACACUGGCCGUCGCAUCCAGUGAAAAA
rnacentral:ncRNA from 1 species